UACGGGAGGCAGCAGUGGGGAAUAUUGCACAAUGGGGGAAACCCUGAUGCAGCGACGCCGCGUGAAGGAAGAAGUAUCUCGGUAUGUAAACUUCUAUCAGCAGGGAAGAUGAUGACGGUACCUGACUAAGAAGCCCCGGCUAACUACGUGCCAGCAGCCGCGGUAAU
rnacentral:rRNA from 1 species